GGUUCAUUCAAAUUUCUGCCCUAUCAACUUUCGAUGGUAAGGUAUUGGCUUACCAUGGUUUCAACGGGUAACGGGGAAUUAGGGUUCGAUUCCGGAGAGGGAGCCUGAGAAACGGCUACCACAUCCAAGGAAGGCAGCAGGCGCGCAAAUUACCCAAUCCCGACCGGGGAGGUAGUGACAAUAAAUACUGAUACAGGGCUCUUUUGGGUCUUGUAAUUGGAAUGAGUACAAUUUAAACCUCUUAACGAGGAACAAUUGGAGGGCAAGUCUGGUGCCAGCAGCCGCGGUAAUUCCAGCUCCAAUAGCGUAUAUUAAAGCUGUUGCAGUUAAAAAGCUCGUAGUUG
rnacentral:rRNA from 1 species